rnacentral:rRNA from 1 species
AUUGAACGCUGGCGGCAGGCCUAACACAUGCAAGUCGAGCGGAUGAAGGGAGCUUGCUCCUGGAUUCAGCGGCGGACGGGUGAGUAAUGCCUAGGAAUCUGCCUGGUAGUGGGGGAUAACGUCCGGAAACGGGCGCUAAUACCGCAUACGUCCUGAGGGAGAAAGUGGGGGAUCUUCGGACCUCGCGCUAUCAGAUGAGCCCAGGUCGGAUUAGCUAGUUGGUGGGGUAAAGGCCUACCAAGGCGACGAUCCGUAACUGGUCUGAGAGGAUGAUCAGUCACACUGGAACUGAGACACGGUCCAGACUCCUACGGGAGGCAGCAGUGGGGAAUAUUGGACAAUGGGCGAAAGCCUGAUCCAGCCAUGCCGCGUGUGUGAAGAAGGUCUUCGGAUUGUAAAGCACUUUAAGUUGGGAGGAAGGGCAGUAAGUUAAUACCUUGCUGUUUUGACGUUACCAACAGAAUAAGCACCGGCUAACUUCGUG